AAUAAUACAAAUGUGAAUUCUUUUCAAACCAGACAACAUCAAGCUAUCUGCACAUAUAAAACAUAUUAUUACCCUUUGUGCAGGAGGUGAGUUUUAUGGAAAAUAAAAACACAUAUUAUCCAGCAAAGUCAAACAGUCAUGAAAAUACUACAAUUAAUUUGAAAAAUAGGCUGAUCACUAAGCAUGGAGGAAAUUACAUAUAUCCUCAGUACUACUACAUUCCCUGGAAUAAAUAGGUACUCAAUAAACAUUUGUUAAAUGCAGAAAUGAAUUUCUACUCUGUUUCUUCUUAAAUACGUAUAGAUAAUAACUCCAUGUAAUACUGAAAUCAAGUCUGUCAGUUCCUGUGUCAGUAAGAAAUCUUUUGGUUGCAUGGAAUAGAAAACAAAAUAAAAAAGCUAAAAUAAACAAAUGAACUAAAUGUACAUUGGCUUUACAUCUUAAAAAUCCAGUGGUACAACUAGCUCUGGAUGAAGCUUUACUCAGCUGUUUAAACAAUAUCACUAACAUCUGGAUUAUCUCUCUCUGCUCUGCCUUCACUUAUGCCAGCUUUAUCCUUAGGAACUACAUGGUGAUUCCCCUGCUGGU
rnacentral:lncRNA from 1 species